rnacentral:lncRNA from 1 species
GUAUCUUCUCUUCCUGGCAUCGCGUCUACGGGGUUGCCCAUGCCUUUGGUUGCUGCUUCCCUGUCCCUAAGAAGAGGAAGUAACAUGGUUCAGCACGAUGUAAACAAAAAAACCAAAACCAUUAAUCACAAAAAAUUUCGCAUACAACGCAUAACAACUAAUACAUGAUGUCGUCGUACAUGAACCCACAAAAGAGACCACAAAACUCAAAUAAACAACAUCCAUUUAUUCGAAGCACAAAAUAGAACUAACAUAGGGACCAGAAAACUCAAACAAACAACACCUCAACAAAAAUUUUAAAAGGCAGUGAACAUAUGCUUACGAAUCUGAAAGAAAAUCAAAAAAUGAAAAAGUGGAAACACGAAAGCGAUAUUUCAGAAAGCGACAUUUCAGAAAUAAAAUAUAAAUACUAAGAAGCUCUGGUUUAUAUAUAAUAAUUAAUCUAAGAUUCGCACCGCAUAAUCGCUAUACCAUCUUAAAAAACCUAAUCCACAAAAAAAAAAACAAUUCAUGGAAAAACAAAAACAAAAUCGUAAAACAGAAAAGAUCAAAUACUCACCCGACGUGUUACCGUUCGUUCUCGCCAUUAAUUAAACCAAAGAAUUCUUAGUCCACUUAGUUCCUACACUUCAGAAUGGAUUCCACAAC